GCAGUAGUGGUUCAAUGGUAGACUCCUUGCCUUCCAUGUAGAAGACCCAGGUUUGAUUCCUGGCCAUUGCA
rnacentral:tRNA from 1 species